GAAAUAUAUCGAUAAAAGACAUAGCUGUUCAGUUGGUUACUACUCGAAAAAAAAUUGAUCAAACAAUUUUACAAAAAAUAGAGGAGCAAGACAAGGAAAAUAUAAUUAAUGCAAAUAUUUAUAAAUGCUCAGAAUAUUACAAGUACAACGAUAUGUCUUUCUAUGACAUUGAAAAAGACAUUGCUGCUUGCAGUUACCGCCAGCCUCAACCUGUUUCAAAUCUUUAAAUACUUAUUGUUUUAUGGCCUUUUUGUUAAAUCACUAUUAAGUAAUUAACAAAUAUCAGUUAUGCAGUAAUUGUAUUAUUUACUUGUUUUUCGAGAAUUUUUUUAGCAAUUAUAAA
rnacentral:lncRNA from 1 species